GACGAACGCUGGCGGCGUGCUUAACACAUGCAAGUCGAACGGAAAGGCCCUGCUUUUGUGGGGUGCUCGAGUGGCGAACGGGUGAGUAACACGUGAGUAACCUGCCCUUGACUUUGGGAUAACUUCAGGAAACUGGGGCUAAUACCGGAUAGGAGCUCCUGCUGCAUGGUGGGGGUUGGAAAGUUUCGGCGGUUGGGGAUGGACUCGCGGCUGAUCAGCUUGUUGGUGGGGUAGUGGCUUACCAAGGCUUUGACGGGUAGCCGGCCGGCGUGGGUGACCGGCCAGAUGGGGUCGGAGUGACGCCCGGAACACCUACGGGAGGGAGGAGGGGGUAGUGAUUAACAGAGGGCGGGAGCCAGAUGCAUCAACCCCGGCUGCGUGAGGGCGGCCGUCGGGUUGGAAACCACUUUCGCUUAUGAGGGAGGAUAAGGGCCGGAAAGGGGUAAAAAGGCCCCGCCAAAUCAGUG
rnacentral:rRNA from 1 species